AUUGAACGCUGGCGGCAGGCCUAACACAUGCAAGUCGAACGAGUGGCGGACGGGUGAGUAAUGUCUGGGGAACUGCCCGAUGGAGGGGGAUAACUACUGGAAACGGUGGCUAAUACCGCAUACCAUCGGAUGUGCCCAGAUGGGAUUAGCUAGUAGGUGGGGUAAAGGCUCACCUAGGAGACGAUCCCUAGCUGGUCUGAGAGGAUGAACAGCCACACUGGAACUGAGACACGGCCCAGACUCCUACGGGAGGCAGCAGGGGGGAAUAUUGCACAAUGGGCGCAAGCCUGAUGCAGCCAUGCCGCGUGUAUGAAGAAGGCCUUCGGGUUGUAAAGUACUUUCAGCGGGGAGGCGUUACCCGCAGAAGAAGCACCGGCUAACUCCGUGCCAGCAGCCGCGGUAAUAC
rnacentral:rRNA from 1 species